AGAGUUUGAUCAUGGCUCAGAACGAACGCUGGCGGCAGGCCUAACACAUGCAAGUCGAGCGCGCCCUUCGGGGUGAGCGGCGGACGGGUGAGUAACGCGUGGGAACGUGCCCUUUUCUACGGAAUAGCCUCGGGAAACUGAGAGUAAUACCGUAUACGCCCUUUGGGGGAAAGAUUUAUCGGAAAAGGAUCGGCCCGCGUUGGAUUAGGUAGUUGGUGGGGUAAUGGCCUACCAAGCCGACGAUCCAUAGCUGGUUUGAGAGGAUGAUCAGCCACACUGGGACUGAGACACGGCCCAGACUCCUACGGGAGGCAGCAGUGGGGAAUCUUAGACAAUGGGGGCAACCCUGAUCUAGCCAUGCCGCGUGAGUGAUGAAGGCCUUAGGGUUGUAAAGCUCUUUCAGCUGGGAAGAUAAUGACGGUACCAGCAGAAGAAGCCCCGGCUAACUCCGUGCCAGCAGCCGCGGUAAUACGGAGGGGGCUAGCGUUGUUCGGAAUUAC
rnacentral:rRNA from 1 species